rnacentral:lncRNA from 1 species
AUGGUUUUGGGACCUGAGCUCAAGCAUGGAACUGUUUCAUUUCUUCAUGUGGAAGAUCCAGAAGGACACAAAGCUUUAGGAGACUUAAUUUUGUACUUUGCUUUGGGAUGUGACAUGCACAGUUGUUACCCAUGAAACUGGACAAGAGCAAAGCAGAUGAAUUUCAGUUUUCUUCUGGAAGUCCAUGGACUUUAGGAGAUCUCAGUUUAUCCUCCCAUCCAGGAGAGUCUCAUGUGG